rnacentral:rRNA from 1 species
UAGGGAAUCUUCCGCAAUGGACGCAAGUCUGACGGAGCAACGCCGCGUGAGUGAAGAAGGUUUUCGGAUCGUAAAGCUCUGUUGUAAGAGAAGAACGGGUGUGAGAGUGGAAAGUUCACACUGUGACGGUAUCUUACCAGAAAGGGACGGCUAACUACGUGCCAGCAGCCGCGGUAAUACGUAGGUCCCGAGCGUUGUCCGGAUUUAUUGGGCGUAAAGCGAGCGCAGGCGGUUUGAUAAGUCUGAAGUUAAAGGCUGUGGCUCAACCAUAGUUCGCUUUGGAAACUGUCAAACUUGAGUGCAGAAGGGGAGAGUGGAAUUCCAUGUGUAGCGGUGAAAUGCGUAGAUAUAUGGAGGAACACCGGUGGCGAAAGCGGCUCUCUGGUCUGUAACUGACGCUGAGGCUCGAAAGCGUGGGGAGCGAACAGGAUUAGAUACCCUGGUAGUCCACGCCGUAAACGAUGAGUGCUAGGUGUUGGAUCCUUUCCGGGAUUCAGUGCCGCAGCUAACGCAUUAAGCACUCCGCCUGGGGAGUACGACCGCAAGGUU